CAGCACAUAUACUAAACUUGGAAAAUUUGAAUGAUACAGAGAAGAUAAACAUGGCCCCUGUGCAAGGAUGACAGGGAAAUUCAUGUAGUGUUCAAAGAAAAG